GCUUCGUUAGCGUAGUUGGAUUAUCGCAUCCGUCUAAUACACACGGUGCCUCAGUUUACUGAGUCGAGAAUAUUACUUCAACGGAAGGUCACUGGUUCGAGCCCAGUACGGAGCA